UAAGCGACUAAGCGUACACGGUGGAUGCCCUGGCAGUCAGAGGCGAUGAAGGACGUGCUAAUCUGCGAUAAGCGUCGGUAAGGUGAUAUGAACCGUUAUAACCGGCGAUUUCCGAAUGGGGAAACCCAGUGUGUUUCGACACACUAUCACUAACUGAAUCCAUAGGUUAAUGGGGCGAACCGGGGGAACUGAAACAUCUAAGUACCCCGAGGAAAGAAAUCAACCGAGAUUCCCCCAGUAGCGGCGAGCGAACGGGGAGCAGCCCAGAGCCUGAAUCAGUGUGUGUGUUAGUGGAAGCGUCUGGAAAGGCGCGCGAUACAGGGUGACAGCCCCGUACACAAAAAUGCACAUGCUGUGAGCUCGAUGAGUAGGGCGGGACACGUGGUAUCCUGUCUGAAUAUGGGGGGACCAUCCUCCAAGGCUAAAUACUCCUGACUGACCGAUAGUGAACCAGUACCGUGAGGGAAAGGCGAAAAGAACCCCGGCGAGGGGAGUGAAAAAGAACCUGAAACCGUGUACGUACAAGCAGUGGGAGCCUCUUUAUGGGGUGACUGCGUACCUUUUGUAUAAUGGGUCAGCGACUUAUAUUCUGUAGCAAGGUUAACCGAAUAGGGGAGCCGAAGGGAAACCGAGUCUUAACUGGGCGUUAAGUUGCAGGGUAUAGACCCGAAACCCGGUGAUCUAGCCAUGGGCAGGUUGAAGGUUGGGUAACACUAACUGGAGGACCGAACCGACUAAUGUUGAAAAAUUAGCGGAUGACUUGUGGCUGGGGGUGAAAGGCCAAUCAAACCGGGAGAUAGCUGGUUCUCCCCGAAAGCUAUUUAGGUAGCGCCUCGUGAAUUCAUCUCCGGGGGUAGAGCACUGUUUCGGCAAGGGGGUCAUCCCGACUUACCAACCCGAUGCAAACUGCGAAUACCGGAGAAUGUUAUCACGGGAGACACACGGCGGGUGCUAACGUCCGUCGUGAAGAGGGAAACAACCCAGACCGCCAGCUAAGGUCCCAAAGUCAUGGUUAAGUGGGAAACGAUGUGGGAAGGCCCAGACAGCCAGGAUGUUGGCUUAGAAGCAGCCAUCAUUUAAAGAAAGCGUAAUAGCUCACUGGUCGAGUCGGCCUGCGCGGAAGAUGUAACGGGGCUAAACCAUGCACCGAAGCUGCGGCAGCGACGCUUAUGCGUUGUUGGGUAGGGGAGCGUUCUGUAAGCCUGUGAAGGUGUGCUGUGAGGCAUGCUGGAGGUAUCAGAAGUGCGAAUGCUGACAUAAGUAACGAUAAAGCGGGUGAAAAGCCCGCUCGCCGGAAGACCAAGGGUUCCUGUCCAACGUUAAUCGGGGCAGGGUGAGUCGACCCCUAAGGCGAGGCCGAAAGGCGUAGUCGAUGGGAAACAGGUUAAUAUUCCUGUACUUGGUGUUACUGCGAAGGGGGGACGGAGAAGGCUAUGUUGGCCGGGCGACGGUUGUCCCGGUUUAAGCGUGUAGGCUGAUUUUCCAGGCAAAUCCGGAAAAUCAAGGCUGAGGCGUGAUGACGAGGCACUACGGUGCUGAAGCAACAAAUGCCCUGCUUCCAGGAAAAGCCUCUAAGCAUCAGGUAACAUCAAAUCGUACCCCAAACCGACACAGGUGGUCAGGUAGAGAAUACCAAGGCGCUUGAGAGAACUCGGGUGAAGGAACUAGGCAAAAUGGUGCCGUAACUUCGGGAGAAGGCACGCUGAUAUGUAGGUGAAGUCCCUCGCGGAUGGAGCUGAAAUCAGUCGAAGAUACCAGCUGGCUGCAACUGUUUAUUAAAAACACAGCACUGUGCAAACACGAAAGUGGACGUAUACGGUGUGACGCCUGCCCGGUGCCGGAAGGUUAAUUGAUGGGGUCAGCGCAAGCGAAGCUCUUGAUCGAAGCCCCGGUAAACGGCGGCCGUAACUAUAACGGUCCUAAGGUAGCGAAAUUCCUUGUCGGGUAAGUUCCGACCUGCACGAAUGGCGUAAUGAUGGCCAGGCUGUCUCCACCCGAGACUCAGUGAAAUUGAACUCGCUGUGAAGAUGCAGUGUACCCGCGGCAAGACGGAAAGACCCCGUGAACCUUUACUAUAGCUUGACACUGAACAUUGAGCCUUGAUGUGUAGGAUAGGUGGGAGGCUUAGAAGUGUGGACGCCAGUCUGCAUGGAGCCGGCCUUGAAAUACCACCCUUUAAUGUUUGAUGUUCUAACGUGGACCCGUAAUCCGGGUUGCGGACAGUGUCUGGUGGGUAGUUUGACUGGGGCGGUCUCCUCCUAAAGAGUAACGGAGGAGCACGAAGGUUGGCUAAUCCUGGUCGGACAUCAGGAGGUUAGUGCAAUGGCAUAAGCCAGCUUGACUGCGAGCGUGACGGCGCGAGCAGGUGCGAAAGCAGGUCAUAGUGAUCCGGUGGUUCUGAAUGGAAGGGCCAUCGCUCAACGGAUAAAAGGUACUCCGGGGAUAACAGGCUGAUACCGCCCAAGAGUUCAUAUCGACGGCGGUGUUUGGCACCUCGAUGUCGGCUCAUCACAUCCUGGGGCUGAAGUAGGUCCCAAGGGUAUGGCUGUUCGCCAUUUAAAGUGGUACGCGAGCUGGGUUUAGAACGUCGUGAGACAGUUCGGUCCCUAUCUGCCGUGGGCGCUGGAGAACUGAGGGGGGCUGCUCCUAGUACGAGAGGACCGGAGUGGACGCAUCACUGGUGUUCGGGUUGUCAUGCCAAUGGCACUGCCCGGUAGCUAAAUGCGGAAGAGAUAAGUGCUGAAAGCAUCUAAGCACGAAACUUGCCCCGAGAUGAGUUCUCCCUGACUCCUUGAGAGUCCUGAAGGAACGUUGAAGACGACGACGUUGAUAGGCCGGGUGUGUAAGCGCAGCGAUGCGUUGAGCUAACCGGUACUAAUGAACCGUGAGGCUUAACCU
rnacentral:rRNA from 1 species